rnacentral:lncRNA from 1 species
GUUCUAUGAUGAAGUGCUCAACAGGAGAUAUAUGUUAUUAUAACCUGAAUCUUAUACCACCGUGGAGAGGUUAUACGGCGAAGCGAAAUAUACACCAUUCGACCAAGAACGCUACUUCAGUAGGUAAACAUCGUUCAAUCCCGAAAAAUCUAUCACCUAGCAUCGAUCCUUCUAGCAUGAUACAUACCCAUGUCUAUAUAUAUAUAUAUAUAUAUAUAUAUACAUAACUAAGGGUAAUCCUUGUAAAUGAACUAUCUAUGACUAAGUAUUGCUCCUUAUAAAGUGAACUGUGUGUACGUAGCAGACAUGCCCUCGUCACAUCCACGCGCAGAAACCGACCUUCGACGUCUGGGAGCAUCAGGAACUCUGUGGACUGGGACGCCACUGCACCCUGCAAGCUGUUCGAUGACGCUGCCCCGCUCGUAGCACUCAGGGAGACGCUGCGCGUCGCACAGUCUAGCAUCUCAGGCGGCCAAAGCUGUCUGUGCUCUUCAAGUGCCUGCAGAAGGUCGAGGGCCUCAACUGGCGACAAGUCGCCGAGGCGGCUGAACAGGAGAAGUGAAAACAUGCACCAUUCACUGGAGGGGGAUGCACGCAUGCAGCCGACGCAUUUACUCCACCACACAGCAGCCGGAGGAUUUCAGUUUUACUCGAGGAAACGAAUAAUACUAUGCGCCGGACAGGGGUGAAGGUCGCGCGGGUCGUGCAUCUCGAGAUUUCUCCGAGAACUGCAGUAGACUAGGGCAGCGUCUGGCCAUCUUCGACACUCAACUUUUUUCUGCUGACAGCACCUUCGCCCAUGGCCUCCGCAGGACAGGUGAUCAAAUACGACCGUCAUACAACUUGGAGACAACUUGUUGAGAUGGAACGGAGCGUUUUAUCGACGUCGAGCUGUCGGCAUGCAGAGACUAAGGCCGUCGCGGGACCAUGUGUGGUUUGUCGCUGGUUAUACAAAUCGAUACACUCUCUGUACAGAUGCUCCGCGACCCGAAACGAGUCUAUCCUUCCCACCUCUGGCAGAUUAUCAACGAACUGCUGAACCACCCUGUGUGGAGAAUGAGGCACAGAGUCGCCUGAGGGCCAACGCACUGCGUAAGGUCCUCUCUCCGUGUUUAGGCAAAAACGACUUUCUCGAAAAACUGGGGAGAAUUUGUUUCUUCGUGUCGCAUCGUACAAAACUUCGCGGGACGCUGAGGAACUCAAGCUGUUCCAAAAUAGAGAGAAAUGCACGACGUUGAAUUCUUCCUCUGAAAGACAGCUCAGACCCCGAUGCUGGACACAGUCUGCAACGGCAACGCCUGCAAAUGCGGUUACGACACAGAUGGUGUAGGACCUAGGCUGUUUCUUGGCACUCUGAUCUGAAGCACACGUUGAUACCGGUGGAGUUCAGACCUACUUUGACAGGCGAUGAAGCAAGUUCACCAGGACGCCGACGGCCUCUUCAUUCACAUUUCUGGAAUCGGAGGACUCGUCUAAUUCGUCUUCUAUCUCGAAACGUAAUGCCGGCCUCUGACUCAGACCCGAUGGGGCGAGGAGCACUGCACUGUCGUUGCUUGUCCCCUGGGAGGCGGACCCUGCAUUCUCGCCAGAUACCGCAUGCGGCGGCAAGAGCGACGGAGCGGAGACGUUCCAAGAUUCAUUGGGAUUUCUGUCCGACCCCGCGUCUUCUUCGAGUUUCAUGUCUCCAUCGCCUUUGCUGUCUCCUGGGGAGUGUUGAGCUGGCUCAUGGACAAGCCCAAAGAGGUCCGUGUUUGUAGCGCUCCCGUCACGGCGUCGUCGAGAGAUCUCUGCCUGAGACGAACUGGACGAAAGAAGCAGUCCGCGCGCCGCUAAGACGGCGUAGAUCGCUCUGUACAGAAACCGGGCCGGCAAUCAGCAAGAUGGAGUGAAACCACCCAGAAGUACAUCAGACAGAAAUUGCUGAGGUAUUUGAAAUGCAUGCAGCUGCAUAGCCAUCAGGUUUCACGAAGGUUCGCCACUCACAUCGCCGCGGAGGAAGUCGGAAAAUGUAGGAAAACAACUUCACAGCAGCAGCUGCCGCAGGCCUCUACUGGACGAUUUCCUCGCAGAAACGACCGCCGCCAACCAAGACCCGGGACGGCACUCCACUCGAAAAACUCAUUCUUCCGCAUGCCACCAGAGUGUCUCGAAAUUUGCGAAGAUAUGCAAAGAUGGUAACUGGCGGAGGCACUCUUUAUGUGGUGAGGGGAGACGCGAUUUGAGAGGGCGACAACAGCAGUUAAGCACGCUGUCCGCCUGGAGAUGCCGACCCGAUGUCUGCUUCAUGCCGCUGCGCCAGCUCACCACGGUUUCCGUUCGUUUCUCUAAUAUUUCGCAGGUCCAAAGAACUCACCGUUGUAUACCCCAUGCGCUGAGGGUCACCUCCCUGCUCCCGUUGCGGUCCCUGCCGGAGGUUUCUUUUCCGAGUCGGCGAACCGCAGCCACAAGAAAUGUUUUUGAAGGAGCGACAUGCUGAAGAAACCGAGUGCAACAGAACAAACGACGACAGAAAUAAAAAGCAGGACGGGCAGCCCCGCUGAUUCCAACACAGUGUGGACUCGUCUCUCAGACGAGUGUUUACAAGCUUUUUCUGGGAGAUAGAUACGAUGACGUGGACUCCUGGUUUACAUCUUGAAGGACUUUGUUUAGCGGACCGAGCGUCUGCAGUGCGGUCCAUAAUCACAUCCAGUGCAUUAAGUAUAGCGCGUAAUCAGCUCUGCGACAGAGUUGCGUUAACCUUCUUCUGGGAAGAACAAACGGAUAUACGCAGCUUCUAACUACCCAGGAUUACGCCAAGAAUGAUCCCGCGUUAACCUGACUAUCUGUGUUCUAUUCAUACAAUGGGUUCAGUUGGUUCUAUCUCUACAAUAUCUUUCAUCUUCACUAUGCUCUGCUAACACAGGAAAGGCGUUUUUUACUGUCUCGCGAGAAUUCCUGGAUAGCAUCCAGAGGCCAUGAUACCGAAACCAAGCGCCACGAUGUCUUCUUCAGGCUCGGCGAGUCGCUCUUUGUUGCGCUGUUUCCAUGCAUGCAGUAGCAUAGAUGACUUGCCCCACAUAUUCCGGGCAGACUAGCAGUCGGCAGGGGAGUACGGAAGUCAACAUCAUGGUCUUUGUACGGCGCGCAUGCAAACGUUGGAUCCCCAAACGACCGCUGGGAAAACACUACGUGGAACGCACUAAACGCUACCGUGACGUUCAGGAGCAUAUCAUUACGCAUUCGAUGGCAUCUUCAAUUG